rfam:Porcine enterovirus 10 strain LP 54 polyprotein gene, complete cds.
CUAAAACAGCCUGCGGGUUGUACCCGCCCGCAGGGCCCACUGGGCGCUAGUACUCUGGUACGCUAGUACACUAGCACGUUAGUGCUUUUGUACGCCAGUACCUUUGUACGCCUGUUUUAUUU